GAUGAACGCUCGCUACAGGCUUAACACAUGCAAGUCGAGGGGAAACGACAUCGAAAGCUUGCUUUUGAUGGGCGUCGACCGGCGCACGGGUGAGUAACGCGUAUCCAACCUGCCCAUCACUUGGGAAUAACCUUGCGAAAGUAAGACUAAUACCCAAUGAUAUCCCACGAAGGCAUCGGAAUGGGAUUAAAGAUUUAUCGGUGAUGGAUGGGGAUGCGUCUGAUUAGCUUGUUGGCGGGGUAACGGCCCACCAAGGCAACGAUCAGUAGGGGUUCUGAGAGGAAGGUCCCCCACAUUGGAACUGAGACACGGUCCAAACUCCUACGGGAGGCAGCAGUGAGGAAUAGUGGUCAAUGGGCGAGAGCCUGAACCAGCCAAGUAGCGUGCAGGAAGACGGCCCUAUGGGUGGUAAACUGCUUUUAUAAGGGAAUAAAGUGGGUCACGUGUGACUUUUUGCAUGUACCUUAUGAAUAAGGACCGGCUAACUCCGUG
rnacentral:rRNA from 1 species